rnacentral:rRNA from 1 species
UACGUAGGGUGCAAGCGUUGUCCGGAAUUAUUGGGCGUAAAGAGCGCGUAGGCGGCUUGUCGCGUCGACUGUGAAAACCCGAGGCUCAACUUCGGGCUUGCAGUCGAUACGGGCAGGCUAGAGUUCGGUAGGGGAGACUGGAAUUCCUGGUGUAGCGGUGAAAUGCGCAGAUAUCAGGAGGAACACCGAUGGCGAAGGCAGGUCUCUGGGCCGAUACUGACGCUGAGGUGCGAAAGCGUGGGGAGCAAACAGG